rnacentral:tRNA from 1 species
GGGCCGGUAGCUCAGUGGGAGAGUACCCGCCUCGCACGCGGGGGGUCGCGGGUUCAAAUCCCGCCCGGUCCACCA